GUUGCCCUUUGGGAAAGGUCAGGUGAUCAACGUCCUGAGCAGGGAGGAUCCUGAUUGGUGGAAAGGGGAGCUCAAUGGUUCAUUUGGUUUGUUUCCUGCCAACUAUGUCAAACUGACCACCGAUACGGACCAGCAGAGAGGACAACAUCUCCCAUAAUCCCUGUUAACAUUGUAACUCCCCUUCUGUGCUUCCCUGCCCAAUGGUUUGAUGGGAGUUGGAGUUUCUGCUGAACAGGAACCCUGAGGCUGAACCAAUCCGCUGCUCCUCUGCUAGAACAUUAGUCUGUGACGCGAGUCAAAGAUAUGCAAUGGAUUUAUUUAUUUUUCAUGUUGUAUUUAUUACCCUUCUCUGCCAGUUUCUAAAAAGUAUUUAUUUAUUGAUUGUUUAUUUUGAUGCAAUAAUAUGUAUUUUAGUAUUUUGAAUACCUGUUGAAUUGUAAAAAAAAAAAAAAUAUGUUGUGUUUAUUCUAGCACAUACACACACCUACACUCACAGAUGCAGUAUACAAAGGUAAACACACAACAGACACACAUACAGUCACUCAAACACAAACAAGUGCAUGCAAGCACACACACAUACAGUACUCAGAAACUCCCCCACAGAAACCUCUUGUCCAUGAUUGCAAAGUGUAUGUGUGUGUAUGUGUACAUGUAUAUGUCUUUGUGUGUUUUGGAAGGUUUUUUUUUUCUUUUUCAAAUUUUUGUUUUGUUUUGUAUUCAUGUGCCCAUGUUUGCUAGUAAGCAACCCUGUUGGAUCAUUGGGUGAAAUCGUAGCAGGUAGCACAUGACGACCAAUCAAACCUCUCAUGCUCUUCUCUGAAGAUGAGUCCAGCCAAUCAGCAGCACAUGUGCCCCAAUCCAACCUUCUGGAAUUCUCACGACAUCAUAAAGGGUCGCUUGGAUACGGUGCCACCCACAGAAGAACGACUCGGCCUAUGUCAUAAUUCCAACACGAUGAUUGAUGUGAACAGAAGCACAGCAGCCAGUGACUCAGACUGUGUUGGGCCUUCUGCCCUGGACAGACAGACAGACAGAGAGAGAGAGACAAUAAAGAGGUGCUGUUGGGCUUCGGGCCCUGGAGAGACAGAGAGCCAAUAAAGAGGUGCUGUUGUG